CAAGCGUUGGGAGACCAUUGUUCUUGAACUCUGCGAUGAGCACUUUUUCUAUGAGGAGGUCAGUCAACACCUCGAAUCUUGUCUGCUGACAGCUUACUAGAGCAAUGCAUUUUUGUAUGCUUGUCAGUCGUCAUUGUGCUUAAAAUACCAAAAUUGUACCACAUUUCUUCUUUUGAUGUUCUGGGUAAGCCAUAUCUAGCUGCACAUUUGUACGAGUGUGUCCAUUUUAUGUCAUUUGUUUAUACUGAGAGUUUUUGUUCUCUCACACAUGCAGAUUGAGAACUAUAAUCAACCAUAUAUCAGUGCUUUAUAUGAGUAUAAUGAUAGGAAAGACCUUAAUAUGAUUUUGAGGUUGACUGCUUUAGUUCUCCUUAUGAUGAUGUUCAUAAAAGGAAGCUCGCAUCUGAAUUUGGGCUGUCGGAUUAGCCGUCCAAAAUGAACCUGGCCGUCGGAUCUUCAUCUGAAGCGAUCCUGGCCAUCGGAUCGUAAGAAACACUGCUAAAAUGAAUUGUGCACAUGGUUGCUACACCUGUGGUAUUGCUUUGGCUCUCCAUGACACGUGGCACCCGGUUGUGGUGGGUCAUACCCAUUAGCGACCGUGGAGCACAUAUCUCCCGGUGUCGUGUGCUUCUCCUGGAGAGCAUGUGCCACCGCCUGUAAAUUUGGGGGUUCGCUGAGGGUACUCUUGUCAUUCCAUAUGACGCUGCUUGUGUGGCGGUUCAUGUCUGGCUCCUCUCGAUGUAAAGGCAAGGGGGAUGCUCGAUUGGGUGAUAACCCUAGCCUCACAGCCCUCGCUUCACUCCCUCCUUACUCGUCCCCUUAUUCCUCCGCAUCUCUGGAUCCGGCCAUUGCUGACCCUCUACUUGCCCCGUCGUCGUUCCUUGGGUGCCGACCGGUGGAUGGGUGUCUGAGCUAGCGCCCACCUGCCGAUGCGAGAUGCAGCUUCCCGGAGAUCCACCGCAAGCCGCCGCCACAUCUCCUCCUCCUCGAACCCUGAUUCGAGUCCUCCAUUAAGGUCUCUCUCUCUCUCUCUCUGUGUGUGUGUGUGUGUGUGUGUGUGUGUGUGCACGCGAUCGUGUGCGUGGCGUGGGUACCUCCAUCGAUGUGCUCCCCAUCCGACUGUUGCUCAUCCCAUCAUCUUGCCAGAGCUCCCAGCCAAGAACGCCGAGGUCGCGGCCAGAUCUCCCGCGUAGCAUCAGGGUUAUUCCCGCUCCCUGCUAUGGAACCCGCAUCAAGAGAGGAUCUUCUCUCCUACAGUUUCCUUCCAAUCCUCCUGUAACUUGGAUCUGAUUUCAUGACAAGAAUUGAGAAAGCCUGGUUCUGGCAAUUCCUGUGAUUUUUAGCAGUAACAGAUGCAUACACUAUUUGUUGCUCCAAGUGAACUCUCAUCGAUCUUCCCUUUUACCUUGCAGGAGGUGGCAUUGUUGGUACUCUUGCCACGGCCAAAGCAGCGGUUGCAGCUAUGGUACUUCCAGGAGGAUGGAAAUAUGUGGUUUCUUCUUGGAAAGGUGAGUUGUUUACCUACAGAAAAAUCAACCUUUAGAGUUGUUUAACUGAACAUAUUUCACAUUGUUACGCCGAGAUAAAAAUCUUGCAUCAAUUGUUAUUGGUCACUCGAUGUCAAGUUAAUGGUUGAUUUGAAUUGGGGUUGACGAGGUCAUGUGUGCUUCAGCAAAUAUCCAAACAUUGUCCGAUGAUGCCACAACAGAUCAGCCUCUCAAGAUGUAUGUGUGGGAUCUAGAUGAAAUGCUUAUUCUGCGCAAGGCGCUGCAGAUGGGUUGUUUGCUGGGAAUUUUGAAGGCCUCAAGAUUCAUGAAAGAGGCACUGAAGUAAGCAAGCAUUGGGAUACCAUUGUUCUUGAACUCUGCGAUGAGCCCUUCUUGUAUGAGGAGGUCAGACAACACCUCGAAUCUUGUCUGCUGACAGCUUACUAGAGAAAUGCAUUUUUGUAUGCUUGUCAGUUGUCAUUGUGCCUAAAAUACCAAAACUGUACCACUUUUCUUCUUUUGAUGUUAUGGAUAAGCCAUAUCUAGCUGCACAUUUGGACGAGUAUGUCCAUUUUAUAUGUCAUUUGUUUAUACUGACAGUUUUGUUCU
rnacentral:lncRNA from 1 species